UCUCCGUAGGUGAACCUGCGGAGGGAUCAUUACAGAGUUCAUGCCCUACCGGGUAGAUCUCCCACCCUAUGUUAUUAUUACUUUGUUGCUUUGGCGGGCCGUUAGGCUCCGGCCCGACUACCGGCCCCGGCUGGUAAGCGCCCGCCAGAGGACCCAAAACCCUGAAUAUUAGUGUCGUCUGAGUACUAUAUAAUAGUUAAAACUUUCAACAACGGAUCUCUUGGUUCUGGCUCGAUGAAGAACGCAGC
rnacentral:misc_RNA from 1 species